GAUGAACGCUAGCGGCAGGCUUAACACAUGCAAGUCGGAGGGGUAUUGGUUCUUCGGAACCAGAGACCGGCGCACGGGUGCGUAACGCGUAUGCAAUCUACCUUUUACCAGAGGGAUAGGCCCAGAGAAAUUUGGAUUAAUACCUCAUAGUAUAACAUGACCGCAUGGUCGAGUUAUUAAAGUUCACAACGGUAAAGAUG
rnacentral:rRNA from 1 species